CUGAAGAUGAAUACUGUUUGUAGUGAAAAUACCUAUCUGUAUGGAGAGAAGCAUCCAUGUCGACUGUGGGACUACUUUGUGCAUGAUACUGAACAGCUGCAGGGACAAUUUGUGCAGAAGACUGUAAUGUUUCUUCUUGGUCACUGCAAUUGAGUCCUUUGUCUGGAUGCUAGAGCUGUGUUGCCUGGUACCUCCCCUGGCCCAAGUUUAACGUGCAAAGGAAAAAGAAGCUUUAAUGAAAAGGUCUGUGGAUGAAGGAUUCUAUUUGUGGCAAAUAUUGUUUGCUCACUAACUGAAGUCCUCUUUGAUGGAAAGAAACUUAUCAGCUUCAGAAGGAGAAUGGAAACUUAAGUUGAAGACAUCAGGCCAACCGUGAUUUCUUGAAG